rnacentral:rRNA from 1 species
CCUACGGGAGGCAGCAGUGAGGACUAUUGGUCAAUGGGCGCGAGCCUGAACCAGCCAAGUCGCGUGAGGGAUGACGGUCCUAUGGAUUGUAAACCUCUUUUGUCGGGGAGCCAUGCCCUCCCCGUGUGGCGUGACAGCGAGUACCGGAAGAAAAAGCAUCGGCUAACUCCGUGCCAGCAGCCGCGGUAAUACUGAGGCUGCGAGCGUUAUCCGGAUUUAUUGGGUUUAAAGGGUGCGUAGGCGGAAGAUGAAUGCAGCGGUCAAAGGUCGGUGCUACACACCGGCCUGCCGUUGAAACUGGUGUGCGUGAGGGGGCGAGAAGUAUGCGGAAUGCGUGGUGUAGCGGUGAAAUGCAUAGAUAUCACGCAGAACUCCGAUUGCGAAGGCAGCAUACCGGCGCUCAACUGACGCUGAGGCACGAAAGCGUGGGUAUCGAACAGGAUUAGAUACCCGUGUAGUC